ACACGACCGACGCGGGUCAAAGUGCAGUAUCUGUUCUUAUCAGCUUAAUGUCUGAUACGGGUUGUAUUUGGACCCAAGAUAUUAAACUUAUUUUUGCAAGUUGGUGGAGUGCUUGAAGCCUGCUUCAACACAGCCGCGGGUCAGCCCGGUAUUGGACUAUCUUCGGGAUCGGCCCACGUUUU
rnacentral:snRNA from 1 species